rnacentral:rRNA from 1 species
CCUACGGGAGGCAGCAGUGGGGAAUCUUGCGCAAUGGGCGAAAGCCUGACGCAGCAACGCCGCGUGCGGGAUGAAGGCCUUCGGGUUGUAAACCGCUUUCAGCAGGGAAGAAAUUGACGGUACCUGCAGAAGAAGCCCCGGCCAACUACGUGCCAGCAGCCGCGGUAACACGUAGGGGGCGAGCGUUGUCCGGAUUUAUUGGGCGUAAAGAGCUCGUAGGCGGUUCGGUAAGUCGGGUGUGAAACCUCCAGGCUCAACCUGGAGACGCCACCUGAUACUGCUGUGACUAGAGUCCGGUAGGGGAGUGUGGAACUCCUGGUGUAGCGGUGAAAUGCGCAGAUAUCAGGAAGAACACCAGCGGCGAAGGCGGCACUCUGGGCCGGUACUGACGCUGAGGAGCGAAAGCGUGGGUAGCAAACAGGAUUAGAUACCCUGGUAGUCCACGCCGUAAACGUUGGGCACUAGGUGUGGGUCUCAACCAACGAGAUCCGUGCCGCAGCUAACGCAUUAAGUGCCCCGCCUGGGGAGUACGGCCGCAAGGCUAAACUUAAAGGAAUUGACGG